GAUGAACGCUGGCGGCGUGCCUAAUACAUGCCAGUCGAGCGAACGGACGAGAAGCUUGCUUCUCUGAUGUUAGCGGCGGACGGGUGAGUAACACGUGGAUAACCUACCUAUAAGACUGGGAUAACUUCGGGAAACCGUAGCUAAUACCGGAUAAUAUUUUGAACCGCAUGGUUCAAAAGUGAAAGACGGUCUUGCUGUCACUUAUAGAUGGAUCCGCGCUGCAUUAGCUAGCUGGUAAGGUAACGGCUUACCAAGGCAACGAUGCAUAGCCGACCUGAGAGGGUGAUCGGCCACACUGGAACUGAGACACGGUCCAGACUCCUACGGGAGGCAGCAGUAGGGAAUCUUCCGCAAUGGGCGAAAGCCUGACGGAGCAACGCCGCGUGAGUGAUGAAGGUCUUCGGAUCGUAAAACUCUGUUAUUAGGGAAGAACAUAUGUGUAAGUAACUGUGCACAUCUUGACGGUACCUAAUCAGAAAGCCACGGCUAACUACGUG
rnacentral:rRNA from 1 species